GACGAGCAGAGAGGCACCCAUCAGCAUCCAGCAGAAACCAUCGAUCGAUCGAUCGCCGGACACAGCAUCGAUUCUCCUCGCACACGCACAUACGGAUUCAGUCGAUCGAUAGAUAUACGUGAUGGAGAAUGAGAGGAACAACCAGGCUCCACCCCUACCCCCAGGCUACUACCCAUCCGCGGCUGCGGAGCAACGUCAAGGCGGCGGCGAAAAGGGAUUCAUCCAAGGAUGCCUGGCCGCGCUCUGCUGCUGCUGGAUCUGCGACAUGUGCUGCGACUAACUCGCCGGUCGCUGCCGGCACAAGACGUUGGUGCUAGUAUAGACCUAUGAAGAGCAUACACACAGAGAGACUCGUUGCUUAGUUAAGUGUUUGUUUGUUGUUUUAGGUAGUGCAAAAAAUACCCCGCAAAAAAAAAAGUAGUGCAGAAAAUAACCGAGAACCCAUGCAUGAGUGGUGUCCAUGUAACUUACCGUGCGUAUCGAUAAUUCUACACCUACGAAAGUUCUAUGUAGGGUUACGUAACCUUCCAUAAAAUCCCCCCCCCCCUAUUUUAACCGGGGUGGGCCCCAGCUGCAAAUCCUGGCCCAAUUAACAAACCCCACAUCAGCUUUUACGUGAACGUAGCAUUACGUAUGUGUAGCAUUGCUCCGUGCGUAUUGGGGCUUUGCUACACCCAGGCAAUUAUUGUACGUAAAACUACGUGAAAACUGGUUUGGGUGAUUUGAUUGGAAGAAAAAAAAUGGCCCGGACCCCACCACGUGAAAUUCGGGGGGAAGAGAGAAGUAAAUUACGAAGUUUAAGUAAGUUUACCUAGAUGGUACGUAGGUGUAGGAUUAGAAUAAUGCUACAUCUAUGAAUGGCUUAAAGUAAUCCUUAGAGGAUUAGACAGCUAGCAAGUUAUGAUUGGAGUCAGAGAGAAGGCGUAACACCCCAACUACUUACAAAUUGGUAGUAGUUAUACAUAGAUCAUAAGGGCACUAUACAAAAUAGCGUCGCCCUUAAAAAUAUGAUGUUAACGUACUAUAGCGUGGUAUAGUACUGUGCCAUUAACAAGAUAUUAUAUAUUAAUCAAUUUAGCGAGACAAUUCUCUACAUACUAUAGCAUGCUACUAGCGACACUAUAGCAUGCUAUUUUCGCAGUGAUACAACACAAAUCUUUUUCAACGCACGUGGUGCCCAACACUCUAAGUCAAACAUGCUUGACUAAGAAGUUCUCACGCGAUUGCUUCUAGAUAUGGGGACGGGUACGGCCGUGGUCAUGGAGGACAGGGUGACGAGGGAACACAUCGCGGCCGACGAGGAGUGCAUGGAGGACCUCCGCCGCCAGUACUGGGGCUUUUGAACUUGCGAGUGUGUUUCAUACUCCAAGUUUGAAUAACCAUUUACUGAGGAGCACUAUCUAGUAUUAUAUCUCGAGUUCUCGACAGUCGACACCACCUUGAUCUUUCGCGACAACGAACGCUCCAUCUAUAGCCAGAUAAUGUUUUCCCUGGCCGAUUCACAAAAACUCCACGCACGCUUUGGCCAGCGAAUAUCAAACAGAUAACCGACCCCGAAACAGCAGUCAGAAAGGGGGGCCGGAAUAUGGUUGCUUUGCAUCUGAUCUGUAGCUAACUUUCUCCCGUCAUCUAGCCGGCGACGGCGCGACCCGAACCGUCGAUCCCUUGCACCAACCCCUGGAUGGCCGGCUAGCUUGUCGAUCACUGUACGUGCGUACCAUGUCGAUCAGUAGCUAGUGUGUGUGCGCGCGCGCUCAACAAACCUCGGCCAUUGAUUCGGGCAGCACACUUUCCAUUUCUCAAGCUCGUAAAGGCACGUGCUGUUGAGUCAGUCCGAAUCGAAUCCGGCUGAUGGUCAAUCCGUAUCAGCAACCGCGUGGCGUGGUGAGGAAAGGUGGGCAGAGAACCUUGUGUACUAUACUAGUAUGCUCUAUCUUUAUGUGAUCUCCGCGUCCCUCUUGUCUAUGAGCAUCUCUUUGGCGGUGGGUGUGGAUGUGUGUAUAUAGAUACGAACUUGGGGCGUCGAGAAGCACCCAUCAUCAGUCAGCUGAAUCCCGUGGAUCGAUCGACCGCCGGCCACAGCAUCGGUUCUCCAAACGGCGACGAGCACGUCCGAAGCUGGUCGUUAGAUAGAUAGAUAGAUAGAUACGUGAUGGAGAACGACAGGAACAACCAGGCGCCGCCGCUACCCCCAGGCUACUACCCAUCUGCGGCUGCGGAGCAACGUCAAGCCGGUGGCGGGAAGAAGUCGCGCCGGGGGAGCACCAAAUCCAGGGGCGAGAAGGGAUUCAUCGAAGGAUGCCUGGCGGCGCUGUGCUGCUGCUGGAUCUGUGAGAUGUGCUGCGACUAACCGGCCGGCGACGUCGCUGCCGUUGGUGCUAGUACCUGCGUUGAAGAACGUACACAUACAGAGAGAGUCGCUGCUUAAUUACAGUGUUUGUUUGUUUGUUUGUUGUUUUAGGUUCUGCGUAACUAACCGAGAACCCGCGCGCGUGUGAUGUCCUUGUACCGUUCCUCAAACCUAUAAUCAAUUUUAAGGCACCAAAUUAUCGGGCUA